CUCUCCAGUCAGAUGCCUCUUCAAGAAUGUGGUAUUUCCAGUGCCUCCAUCGCCAACGAUGACAAGCUUGAAGCUCGGAUAAUCAACAGUCUGUUGGUUAGGUAAAGCCAUUGAUUACGAAACUCGAAAGGCAGCAAGAAAAAGAGAGAAUAACCAC